rnacentral:rRNA from 1 species
GACAGAGGGGGCAAGCGUUGCUCGGAAUCACUGGGCGUAAAGGGCGCGUAGGCGGGAUGGCAAGUCAGUCGUGAAAUCUCUCGGCUCAACCGAGAAACGUCGGCUGAUACUGCCGUUCUUGAGGGAUGCAGAGGAGACUGGAAUUCCCGGUGUAGCGGUGAAAUGCGCAGAUAUCAGGAGGAACACCGGUGGCGAAGGCGGGUCUCUGGGCAUUAACUGACGCUGAGGAGCGAAAGCAUGGGGAGCGAACAGG